rnacentral:rRNA from 1 species
CCUACGGGAGGCAGCAGUGGGGAAUCUUGCGCAAUGGGCGAAAGCCUGACGCAGCCAUGCCGCGUGAAUGAUGAAGGUCUUAGGAUUGUAAAAUUCUUUCACCGGGGACGAUAAUGACGGUACCCGGAGAAGAAGCCCCGGCUAACUUCGUGCCAGCAGCCGCGGUAAUACGAAGGGGGCUAGCGUUGCUCGGAAUUACUGGGCGUAAAGGGAGCGUAGGCGGAUAGUUUAGUCAGAGGUGAAAGCCCAGGGCUCAACCUUGGAAUUGCCUUUGAUACUGGCUAUCUUGAGUAUGGGAGAGGUUAGCGGAACUCCGAGUGUAGAGGUGAAAUUCGUAGAUAUUCGGAAGAACACCAGUGGCGAAGGCGGCUAACUGGCCCAUUACUGACGCUGAGGCUCGAAAGCGUGGGGAGCAAACAGGAUUAGAUACCCUGGUAGUCCACGCCGUAAACGAUGAGUGCUAGUUGUCGGCAUGCAUGCAUGUCGGUGACGCAGCUAACGCAUUAAGCACUCCGCCUGGGGAGUACGGUCGCAAAGAUUAAAACUCAAAUGAAAUUGACGG